UACGUAGGGGGCAAGCGUUGUCCGGAUUUAUUGGGCGUAAAGAGCGUGUAGGCGGUUAGGUAGGUCCGUUGUGAAAACUCGAGGCUCAACCUCGAGACGCCGAUGGAAACCAUCUAACUAGAGUCCGGAAGAGGAGAGUGGAAUUCCUGGUGUAGCGGUGAGAUGCGCAGAUAUCAGGAAGAACACCCGUGGCUAAGGCGGCUCUCUAGUACGGUACUGACGCUGAGACGCGAAAGCGUGGGGAGCGAACAGG
rnacentral:rRNA from 1 species